CCUACGGGAGGCAGCAGUGGGGAAUAUUGCGCAAUGGGCGAAAGCCUGACGCAGCGACGCCGCGUGAGGGAUGAAGGUCUUCGGAUCGUAAACCUCUGUCAGCAGGGAAGAACGGUCACUGUGCUAAUCAGCAGUGAAUUGACGGUACCUGCAAAGGAAGCACCGGCUAACUCCGUGCCAGCAGCCGCGGUAAUACGUAGGGGGCAAGCGUUAUCCGGAUUUACUGGGUGUAAAGGGAGCGCAGGCGGCAGCGCAAGUCUGAUGUGAAAGCCCGGGGCCCAACCGCGGGACUGCAUUGGAAACUGCGCGGCUGGAGUGCCGGAGGGGUAAGCGGAAUUCCUAGUGUAGCGGUGAAAUGCGUAGAUAUUAGGAGGAACACCAGUGGCGAAGGCGGCUUACUGGACGGCAACUGACGCUGAGGCUCGAAAGCGUGGGGAGCAAACAGGAUUAGAUACCCUUGUAGUC
rnacentral:rRNA from 1 species